rnacentral:lncRNA from 13 species
GUCGAGGCAGGAAUCGGCACCUUUGAAGAAGGGAGCCCCUGUGCCUUCUGGGCUUAAAGAGAGCAGAUGCCUCUCAGCCGGGAUCCUCUCCAGCGGGAAAGAGAGAGGUGGAUUUGAGCGCAGGGCCUCCAUGAGAAGACGGGUUGAUCACAGAUGUGAACUGUCAGGUAACCAGGGCUGCAGUGACAUCCACGGAUUUCACUGGAAGUAGAAGAAGAGGUGGAAACAGUUAUCUGCAAGACAGGAGAUGAAAAGAGUUAUUAUAGUCCUAAAUAAAUCAAUGUUGGAAAUUUCCCAAGUGUUCUUGCUGCAUUCAUGGAGGAGCAUAUUUUCAGAACUGCUUUGGACGCCGUUCUGGAAGUACGUCUGUUGUCUGACUCAGUUUACUGGUGUGUUUGGGAGUGUCAGGGUGAUGGUAAUUCCAGGAGAUCCUUGAAGAGUAGGAUUAGAUCAUACUUGCCUAUAGUUCCCAAGCUUCUGUCUUAGUGCUUGGUCUGCAGCAGUACGGUGGUAGCCAUAUAGGAGAUUCCACUCAUCCAGGGGGACACCUUCCAACACCCCUAUGGGUGCCUGAAACUCCCGAGGAUACUGAGCCCUACAUACACCAUGUUUCUUCCUAUUCAUAUAUAUGUACGAUAAAGAUGAAUUUAUCAAUCAGGCAUAGUAAGAAGUUAAGAGUAACUAAUAAUAAAGUUGAACAAUUAAAACA